ACGCUCGACACUACGGGAGACAGCAGUAGGGAAUCUUCCACAAUGGACGCAAGUCUGAUGGAGCAACGCCGCGUGAGUGAAGAAGGUUUUCGGAUCGUAAAGCUCUGUUGUUGGUGAAGAAGGAUAGAGGUAGUAACUGGCCUUUAUUUGACGGUAAUCAACCAGAAAGUCACGGCUAACUACGUGCCAGCAGCCGCGGUAAUCUGAGCGGGCUGGCAAGGC
rnacentral:rRNA from 1 species